rnacentral:ncRNA from 1 species
AUUUAUAUUUAUAUAUAAAUUGAGCCUAUUAGAGGAAACUUUAAUAGUGAAUGCUCUCAAAUUCAGGGAAAUCUUUAAAUAAAAAAGACAAUCCUGAGCCAAUUUGCUUUAAAAAUUAUUUUUCUAGCAAAAGGUGCAGAGACUCGACGGGAGCUAUCCGCAAACAAAUUUUAAUUUGAUUUAAGGAUAAAGAGAGAGUCCAGCUUCUAAAAACUGA